GAAAAUGUCCCCGCUCGGGGCUGCUCUGCCAUCUGGGCCGCGGGCUGGGCGCGCGGCUCCCGCCCCCAGCUCCUUGGCAGAGGCGCCGGAGGAAGGGGCGCCGCGAAGGGCCGUCAUCUUGUUGGAAAAGAAUGCAGAAAUGCCCCCCGAAGGCUGAAUGAGCGCCACUUCCACACUCAGGGCGGGGGAGGCCGGGGGACGUGGGAGCGGCGCACCAGGAGCAAGGCGUCCCUGGUGACAGCGCGUCCCAAGGGCUCUCCCUUUUCCCAGAGCGCAUUCCAAAGGCCGACUCCUUUGCAGGCUCCACGAGCCCCAUUCGCGGUGGAGAGGGGCGUUCCAGGCUGCAGGACCCUUAGAGAUGAGAGUAUGAAAGAGAAAAUACAUACUCUGGAAUCCAUUGGUCCUACCCCACUUAUUCAGAAUAAUUCAAUUAAAAACAACACACAUCAUAUAGGAAUGUCAACAGUGAAGGUGAGUCGCAUGAUAAUUCUCUUUCGAAAAAGACGUAUUUGUACUUUAUUUAUUCAGUCCAUUACUUACUCUACAAACACUUGCCAAAUGCCUACAGACUGCAUCAAGCAUAGCCUUACUCUCUAGGUCUCAUGAUUCGGGGGCAUCUGGGAUCCUAUGACGUGUUUAACAGAAUCCUGUUUCUCUUAGAUGGGCUUAAAAUGACCUCUGUGUGAUUUGCUCUACAUAAUUAUUCAUGUUUCCCAGAGAGGUAACAUUAUGUAGGUCUUCAAAACACAGAUUACAAAUUGAAAAGGUUGAACUACCUCCCAUCAAGAUGGUAGCAUAUGAAAGGGCAAUAUAUUCCAACCCUAACACAGCUAACCAGUACAUAAAUCACCUGGACUUUUCCUUCAUCUUUAGAAUAAAGGCACCAUUCUAAGUAGUGUAAAAAGUCCCUUCUAGCCUUCUCAUUUGAAUAUUGUGUAACUGCAUUAUACUAUCAUUAAAAAUUUCCAGGCUGGGUGCAGUGACUCACACCUGUAAUCCCAGCACUUUGGGAGACUGAGGCAGGUGGGUCACCUGAGGUUACGAGUUCAAGACCAACCUGGCCAACAUGGUGAAACCAUCUCUACUAAAAAAGAAAAAAAUUAACUGGGCGUGGGGGCAGGUGCCCGUAAUCCCAGUGAUAAUCAAGAAUAAUCACUUGAACCCAGGAGGCAGAGGUUGCAGUGAGCCGAGAUCACGCCACUGCACUCCAGCCUAGGCGAUGAGAAUGAAACUCCAUCUCAAAAAAAAAAAAAAAAGAAUUUCCUGUAACACAAACUAACCAUCUAUAUAUGUCCUAGGAUAACAGCCUUUGGGUCAGUCAUCAUAGAAUCAAAUCAAAAGCUGAUGUCUUCGUUAGCUCUCUAACAUAUAUUCUAGAGGAAAUUCCUGAUGUCCCAAAAUAUACGAAACCAGCCUCAAAAAGAUUCCUGCAGCACACAGUGCUGCUUUUCCUACCAGCUAUCUUCCCUCCUCAUUCCUAUUUCUUUCAAGUUACAGAAGCCCAUUUUGUUCAUAUAUUUAAUUGCCACGAGCUUCAAAGGAGGCCAAGCCCUACCUGGUCCCACGGGUUAAACGUCUGUUGGUCUUAGCAAAUCAGCAUUAUUUUAAUCCCCUUGCCAAUGGCUGGUUUAGGAUUGAUUUGCUGUUAAAAAGGCGUAUUUGAGAGGAAGCUCCUUUUUCCUAUCCCUUCAUUCAGCUAUAUGAGGUGAUGCUCAGAGCUUCUGCAGCCAUCUUGUGAUCAUAGGACCAUAAACCUGAAUAUAAAAGUAAAGACAUCAAACACAGCAAAGCAGAAAAAUGGAAAACACCCAGGCCCUUCUUGACAUUGUUGAGUUGCUGAGUUAACUGACUCUGAUUAACUUGUCUACUUGUUAUCUGAGAUUGGAAAUAGUCCUUUUUCAUUGUUGUUUCUCAAACUGUAGUGUGACUUCAAAUAACCUGUGUGUCUGAUUAAAAUACAGAUUCUGAUGUAUUAUAGGAGGCCCUGGGUUGGGUCUGGGGAUUCUGCAGUUCUGACAAGCUCCCAGGUGAAGGUGACACUGCCAGCUCUGAGCCCGAACUCUGAGUAAGAAGGGUUUAAUUCACUUUAGAUUGAUAUUCAGUGACUAGUAGCUGAAAUCAUCCUAAAUGACACAACCCUCAAUCUAGUAUUUUCUCUCAUCAUCUCUUACCUGUGUUGAUGAAUCCAUUUAAGGACCUAAAAAUUUUAACAUUAAUUUUAGUUGCUGUUAACCUGCAUGCAGUUCAUGCUUUGACUCGAUUCCUCUCACUUCAAUACCCCACCAUCACUGGUACCUUCUUAUUCUUUUCUGCCUUAAAUAGGGCAUUCACGAGUCUCAGCACCCACGGUGGGACAAAGGCGCCUGUGAAUGCUAGGUGCCUUUGCCCUGCUCUAGCGUGAAGAGCUUGCCAGCACACCUGG
rnacentral:lncRNA from 1 species